rnacentral:tRNA from 2 species
GUCCCCUUCGUCUAGCGGUCUAGGAUGUCACCCUUUCACGGUGAAGACACGGGUUCAAGUCCCGUAGGGGACGCCA